UAGUCCACGCCGUAAACGAUGAUUACUCGGUGUUGGGUUCAAUUUGGAUUCAGUGCCUAAGCGAAAGUGAUAAGUAAUCCACCUGGGGAGUACGUUCGCAAGGAUGAAACUCAAAGGAAUUGACGGGGGCCCGCACAAGCGGUGGAGCAUGUGGUUUAAUUCGAUGAUACGCGAGGAACCUUACCAAGACUUAAAUGCAUAUUGAAUAUAGGGGAAACUUUAUAGUCUUCGGACAAUUUGCAAGGUGCUGCAUGGUUGUCGUCAGCUUGUGCCGUGAGGUGUCAGGUUAAGUCCUAUAACGAGCGCAACCCCUAUCGUUAGUUGCCAUCAUUUAGUUGGGGACUCUAGCGAGACUGCCUACGCAAGUAGAGAGGAAGGUGGGGAUGACGUCAAAUCAUCACGGGCCCUUACGUUUUGGGGCUACACACGUGCUACAAUGGUAGGUACAGAGGGGCAGGCUACCAUGUGAAUGGGAUGCGAAUCUUGAAAGCCUAUCUCAGUUCGGGAUCGGGA
rnacentral:rRNA from 1 species